rnacentral:rRNA from 1 species
GAUGAACGCUAGCUACAGGCUUAACACAUGCAAGUCGAGGGGAAACGACAUCGAAAGCUUGCUUUUGAUGGGCGUCGACCGGCGCACGGGUGAGUAACGCGUAUCCAACCUGCCCAUCACUUGGGAAUAACCUUGCGAAAGUAAGACUAAUACCCAAUGACAUCCCACGAAGACAUCUGAAUGGGAUUAAAGAUUUAUCGGUGAUGGAUGGGGAUGCGUCUGAUUAGCUUGUUGGCGAGGUAACGGCCCACCAAGGCAACGAUCAGUAGGGGUUCUGAGAGGAAGGUCCCCCACAUUGGAACUGAGACACGGUCCAAACUCCUACGGGAGGCAGCAGUGAGGAAUAUUGGUCAAUGGGCGAGAGCCUGAACCAGCCAAGUAGCGUGCAGGAUGACGGCCCUAUGGGUUGUAAACUGCUUUUAUAAGGGAAUAAAGUGGGUCUCGUGAGACUUUUUGCAUGUACCUUAUGAAUAAGAACCGGCUAAUUCCGUG